rnacentral:rRNA from 1 species
CCUACGGGAGGCAGCAGUGAGGAAUAUUGGUCAAUGGACGAGAGUCUGAACCAGCCAAGUAGCGUGAAGGAUGACUGCCCUAUGGGUUGUAAACUUCUUUUAUAAAGGAAUAAAACGAGGCACGUGUGCCUUUUUGCAUGUACUUUAUGAAUAAGGAUCGGCUAACUCCGUGCCAGCAGCCGCGGUAAUACGGAGGAUCCGAGCGUUAUCCGGAUUUAUUGGGGUUAAAGGGAGCGUAGAUGGGUUGUUAAGUCAGUUGUGAAAGUUUGCGGCUCAACCGUAAAAUUGCAAUUGAUACUGGCAGUCUUGAGUACAGUUGAGGUAGGCGGAAUUCGUGGUGUAGCGGUGAAAUGCUUAGAGAUCACGAAGAACCCCGAGUGCGAAGGCAGCUUGCUAAACUGUGACUGACAUUGAUGCUCGAAAGUGUGGGGAUCAAACAGGAUGAGAUACCCCUGUAGUC